rnacentral:rRNA from 1 species
UACGGGAGGCAGCAGUGAGGAAUAUUGGACAAUGGGCGCAAGCCUGAUCCAGCCAUGCCGCGUGCAGGAAGACUGCCCUAUGGGUUGUAAACUGCUUUUAUACAGGAAGAAACCGCUCUACGUGUAGAGCUCUGACGGUACUGUAAGAAUAAGGAUCGGCUAACUUCGUGCCAGCGACCGCGGUAAU